rnacentral:rRNA from 1 species
GUCCACGCCCUAAACGAUGUCAACUGGUUGUUGGGGAAUUGAUUUCCUUAGUAACGAAGCUAACGCGUGAAGUUGACCGCCUGGGGAGUACGGUCGCAAGAUUAAAACUCAAAGGAAUUGACGGGGGCCCGCACAAGCGGUGGAUGAUGUGGUUUAAUUUCGAUGCAACGCGAAAAACCUUAACCUACCCUUGACAUGUCCCGAACCCUGCUGAAAGGCGGGGGUGGCCCGAAAGGGAACGGGAACACAGGUGCUGCAUGGCUGUCGU